rnacentral:lncRNA from 1 species
UUCUCUCAUUCAAUAACCAUCAGUACGUCUAAACAAAUACAUAAAUCAAUUAUUUUUUUGGUUAGGGGAAGGGACAUUUAUUAGCCCUCAAUACAUAACUCCAUAGAAAAAGAAAGCUUAAUCCGACAAACAUCGGGAAGGCUUAGCAUUUUUUCUUUUUGAAACCUCAAAACUGGUCCAGCAACCCGCAGGCAAUUGCAAAGAUCUCUUAUACCUUGACCCGUGGCCAUGGCUUUGUCAAACACAGAAGUUGCUGCUUUACAACAAUCAAAAGUUGGAUUGGGAUGGAUAUUCCCCAUAUAAGGCCCACAAAAAGUGAGUAAUGAUUCAUCCCCAUUGCAUGAAGGAGGGAUUUGAGAUAGAGUGAAAGUUGUUGCUGCCAAACCAUAUGCCAUAACAAACAUGACUAGAGCCAAAAAUGUCUUUUCUCCCAUCUUAUCUUGAAUAUGUAUACAACUUUGUUUUCA